GCAUCACAUAUGCAUUACAUGUAGGACCUUCACAACUUCAUGCACUCAGAAACAUGCAUGAAGAGGGUACUGUUGGUGACCCCGAGCGAUGAAAAUGAACAUUCUGCCACUUUCCAUCCCGGCGGUGCCACACACGAGUCUCUUCUGACUGCAUUGUCUUUGGCAUUCCACUGCCAUCCAUGUACUGUGUGAGCCUAAUAUAUGCUAUGCAGGCGGCAUCAUCCCCUACCAGAUGUACAUGAGGGUUUAGAAUAAUAGUGUGGAUUGGUUUAUUGCUUUUGGACAAAGCUG
rnacentral:lncRNA from 1 species